AGGAGAAAGCAGCCGGCCGGGCACAGGAAGCAGCAGGCUGUGCGGAUUGCCGUGGGUCUCGUGGGAGGGCGAACUGAACGUGACAAAGCCGCCGAGGAACCAGCUUUGUCAGCGCCAACUUGUACCUGGGGCUUCUGCUCCCGCAGCUGCACGGGUUUCCAUCAUAUAGAACGAGGCUCCAGACUGCGCGGAUGGUGCUGUGGUGGCGCGGAGCCCAGUCAGAUGGCGCCGCGGAGCCCAGUCAGAUGGCGCCGCGGGAGCCCAGUCAGAUGGCGCCGCGGAGCCCAGUCAGAUGGCGCCGCGGAGCCCAGUCAGAUGGCGCCGAGCAUGGCAGCUCCCACGGGAGGACGGCCUCCUGUCUCUCUCCCUGCCAUGGACUGGAGCGUGGGCCCUAGGGUCCCUCCGGAAGGCACAUAAACCACCUCACUAAGCUUCCAAAGAAUAAACUUACACAGUAACUGUUCUUUAACUGCUAUGAAAUAGAUUUCAUUGACAACAAAAGGAUUAUUAAAAUAUAAAGCCUAGGU
rnacentral:lncRNA from 1 species